UCUAAAAUUCAGUUCUAUCAGAAUCGUAUACUAACCAUGGAAUAUUGCUCUGUAAAAGACUGCAUUAGUACGUCUUCCUAUAAAAAUGUAAUCCUGCACACGAUAAGAGGGAAGUGGAUUGCAAUAGUCAAAUGGAAAACAGAUUCUCCUAACCGGAUAUGCAGUCGGUAUUUUAAAAAUAAAUGCUAUAGAAGUCUCUAUGGUAAAAAGUUGUGGAACAAUGUCCAAGUGAUAAAGAAAGACCAUAAUUAUGCCCUGCCUUCUUCUCAAGAAACUAUUCAACUUCUCCAAGAUAGUGCGGAAAUGGGAAUGAAAUACAGAGAGAGAUGAUGUUACAACCUUCAAAAACGUUAAAAAACUGUGGAAGAUCUCCAGGAUACACUUAAAACUGCGUGCCAAAAAUAUCCAUCUAAGAGAGUACCAUGGAGCUACUAAUGGCUUCUGCUUCUCAAAUUCCUGGCGAGAUUUUUCAGAGAAUUAGGCGCAAGCCUACAGGUUUGUUCAGAACUGUUUAGAAGAUUGUUUGCCUCAUGAGAGUAUGCUUAGAAACUUGAGUGCAAAAGUUGAUGGAUACCCUGGUUUCUCAAAUCAAGUAUUUUCAUGCUUGAAACAAAAAUUGUAUGACAAUUUAUGAAUAAAAGUCUUUUUAAA